rnacentral:rRNA from 1 species
UCCGAUUGAUUCUGUCGGCGUUGUAUGCUUAAGUAAAAGACUAAGCCAUGCAUGUAAAAAGUUCAGCUUUAUAGUGAAACUGCGAACGGCUCAUUAGAGCAGCUAUUAUUCUCUUCGGAUCCUUAAUGGAUAACUGCGGUAAUUCUGGAGCUAAUACAUGCAACGAAACCACCUUUUCGGAGGUGGUGCAGUUAUUAGAACAGACCAAUCGUCUUCGGACGUAGUUUGUUGACUCUGAAUAACGUAGCNGGAGGUGGUGCAGUUAUUAGAACAGACCAAUCGUCUUCGGACGUAGUUUGUUGACUCUGAAUAACGUAGCUAAUCGACGGUCAAUCCGUCGAUAACCGAAAGAAGUGUCUGCCCUAUCAACCAGAUGGUAGUCUAUUAGUCUACCAUGGUUAUCACGGGUAACGGAGAAUCAGGGUUCGACUCCGGAGAGGGAGCCUUAGAAACGGCUACCACAUCCAAGGAAGGCAGCAGGCGCGUAACUUAUCCACUACUUCAGUGAGAUAGUGACUAAAAAUAAAAAGACCGAUCCAAUGGAUCGGUUAUUUCAAUGAGUUGAGCCUAAAUAGCUCUUCGAGGACCCAGUGGAGGGCAAGUCUGGUGCCAGCAGCCGCGGUAAUUCCAGCUCCACUAGUGUACACCGUUAUUGCUGCGGUUAAAAAGCUCGUAGUUGGAUUCGAGUCUAGUACGAUCGCUCGCUUCGGCGUUAGUGAUCGUCUAGACUAUUUUGCUGGUCUUCUGUAGGUAACUUCGGUUCCUACAGUGGCUAGCGAGUUUACUUUGAAUAAAACAGAGUGCUCAAAACAAGCGUUUGCUUGAAUGCUCAAUCAUGGAAUAAUGAAAAAGGACUUCGGUCUUAUUUAUUGGUUCUAAGACUGAAAUAAUGAUUAAGAGAGACAAUCGGGGACAUUCGUAUCAUUGCGCGAGAGGUGAAAUUCGUGGACCGCAGUGGGACGCCCAAAAGCGAAAGCAUUUGUCAAGUAUGUCUUCAUUAAUCAAGAACGAAAGUCAGAGGUUCGAAGGCGAUUAGAUACCGCCCUAGUUCUGACCGUAAACUAUGCCAUCUAGCGAUCCAAUGGGGCAUUUAUGCCUCGUCGGGGAGCUUCCCGGAAACGAAAGUCUUUCGGUUCCUGGGGUAGUAUGGUUGCAAAGCUGAAACUUAAAGAAAUUGACGGAAGGGCACCACCAGGAGUGGAGCCUGCGGCUUAAUUUGACUCAACACGGGAAAACUCACCCGGCCCGGACACCGUUAGGAUUGACAGAUUGAAAGCUCUUUCUCGAUUUGGUGGUUGGUGGUGCAUGGCCGUUCUUAGUUGGUGGAGCGAUUUGUCUGGUUUAUUCCGAUAACGAGCGAGACUCUAGCCUACUAAAUAGUUACAGAAUUUUCGAGUUCUGUUAACUUCUUAGAGGGAUAAGCGGUGUUUAACCGCACGAGAUUGAGCGAUAACAGGUCUGUGAUGCCCUUAGAUGUCCGGGGCUGCACGCGCGCUACACUAGAGAAAUCAGCUGGUAUUCCAUUGCCGAAAGGUAUUGGUAAUCCGUUGAAACUUCUCUGUGACCGGGAUAGGGAAUUGUAAUUAUUUCCCUUGAACGAGGAAUUCCUA